UACGGGGGAGCAAGCGUUGUUCGGAUUUACUGGGCGUAAAGGGCGCGUAGGCGGCGCAACAAGUCACUUGUGAAAUCUCCGGGCUUAACUCGGAGCGGUCAAGUGAUACUGUCGUGCUAGAGUGCGGAAGGGGCUACUGGAAUUCUCGGUGUAGCGGUGAAAUGCGUAGAUAUCGAGAGGAACACCUGCGGCGAAGGCGGGUAGCUGGGCCGACACUGACGCUGAUGCGCGAAAGCCAGGGGAGCGAACGGG
rnacentral:rRNA from 1 species